GAUGAACGCUGGCGGCGUGCCUAAUACAUGCAAGUCGAGCGAACAGACGAGGAGCUUGCUCCUCUGACGUUAGCGGCGGACGGGUGAGUAACACGUGGAUAACCUACCUAUAAGACUGGGAUAACUUCGGGAAACCGGAUCUAAUACCAGAUAAUAUAUUGAACCGCAUGGUUCAAUAGUGAAAGACGGUUUUGCUGUCACUUAUAGAUGGAUCCGCGCCGCAUUAGCUAGUUGUUAAGGUAACGGCUUACCAAGGCAACGAUGCGUAGCCGACCUGAGAGGGUGAUCGGCCACACUGGAACUGAGACACGGUCCAGACUCCUACGGGAGGCAGCAGUAGGGAAUCUUCCGCAAAGGGCGAAAGCCUGACGGAGCAACGCCGCGUGAGUGAUGAAGGUCUUCGGAUCGUAAAUCUCUGUUAUUAGGGAAGAACAAAUGUGUAAGUAACUAUGCACGUCUUGACGGUACCUAAUCAGAAAGCCACGGCUAACUACGUG
rnacentral:rRNA from 1 species